UGGGGGUGGAGGUGGACCUGGUGGACCUGCACCAUUGCGGCCUGGAGGUGGAGGUGGAGGUGGAGGUGCACCAGGUGGCUUGGUUACUGAAGAAACUGUUCCUUGACGUGGAGCUCCAGGAGGGGGAGGAGGGAGCGGCGGUGGUGGUGGUCCAGGGGUAGCACUGGCUUUAGUAGCCACGCCAAAUGGAGGUGGAGGUGGGGGUGGGGGUGGUGAACUCUUGGAAAAACUAGAAGUAGAAGCGAUGGGAGGUGGUGGUGGUGGUGGAGCACCUCUUGAAGAAACAGGUGGAGGUGGAGGCGGAGGUGGUGGUGGUGGUGGAGCACCUCUUGAAGAAACAGGUGGAGGUGGAGGCGGAGGUGGUGGUGGUGGUGGAGCACCUCUUGAAGAAACAGGUGGAGGUGGAGGCGGAGGUGGUGGUGGUGGUGGAGCACCUCUUGAAGAAACAGGUGGAGGUGGAGGCGGAGGUGGUGGUGGUGGUGGAGCACCUCUUGAAGAAACAGGUGGAGGUGGAGGCGGAGGUGGUGGUGGUGGAGGUGGCAGUGGUGGAAGGGUCUUUGUGGAGAUAGGAGGCAAAGUGGGAGGUGGUGCUAUAGCAUCAUCUAAACUAUCAACAGGAACAUGUUUUGGUGAUGCUAAAGAACCAUUCACAUUACUUAAAUCAGCACUU
rnacentral:lncRNA from 1 species